UACGGGGGGGGCAAGCGUUGUUCGGAAUUACUGGGCGUAAAGGGCUCGUAGGCGGCCAACUAAGCCGGACGUGAAAUCCCCAGGCUCAACCUGGGAACUGCGUCCGAUACUGGAUGGCUUGAAUCCGGGAGAGGGAUGCAGAAUUCCAGGUGUAGCGGUGAAAUGCGUAGAUAUCUGGAGGAAUACCGGUGGCGAAGGCGGCAUCCUGGACCGGCAUUGACGCUGAGGAGCGAAAGCCAGGGGAGCAAACGGG
rnacentral:rRNA from 1 species